GGUCGCUUAGCUCAGUUGGUUAGAGCGUGGUGCUAAUAACACCAAGGUCGCGAGUUCGACCCUCGUAGUGACCA
rnacentral:tRNA from 1 species